rnacentral:rRNA from 1 species
GACGAACGCUGGCGGCGUGCUUAACACAUGCAAGUCGAACGGAAAGGCCCUGCUUUUGUUUGUUUCUCGUUUGGCGCACGGGUGAGUAACACGUGAGUAUCCUGCCCUUGACUUUGUGAUAACUUCACGAAACUGGGUCUAAUACCCGAUAUGAUCUUCUGCUGCAUGUUGGUCGUUGGAAAGUUUCGGCGGUUGUGUCUGGUUUCGCGGCUUAUGCGCUUGUUGGUCGGGUAGUGGCUUACCAAGGCUUUGACGGGUAGCCGGCCUGAGAGGGUUACCGGCCACAUUGGGACUGAGAGACGGAGCAGAAUCCUACGUGAGGCAGCAGGGGGGAAUAUGACACAAUGGGGGGAAGCCAGAUGCAGAAACGCCGCGAGCGGAAUGAUGGCCUACGGGUUGUAAACAGAUGUCGAAUGUGACGAAGAGUGAGUGACGGUAAUGGGUAAAGAAGCACCGGCUAACUACGUG